GACGAACGCUGGCGGUGUGCUUAACACAUGCAAGUCGAACGGUAAGGCCCUUUCGGGGGUACACGAGUGGCGAACGGGCGUGUAACACGUGUGUAACCUGUCCUCAUCUCUGGGAUAACAGACGGAAACGGUUGCUAUAACUGGGGAUAAGCGUGAAUGGUACCUUGUGGGUUGGACAGAUUUUUUUUGGUUGGGGAUGGACUCGCGGCCUAUCAGCUUGUUGGUGAGGUAGUGGCUCACCAAGGCUUCGACGGGUAACCGGCCUGAGAGGGGGACCGGCCACAUUUGGACUGAGAUACGGCCCAAGCUCCUACGGGAGGCAGCAGGGGGGAAUAUUGCACAAUGGACGGAAGUCUGAAGCAGCAUCGCCGCGUGCGGGAUGACGGCCUUCGGGUUGUAAACCGCUUUCAAUUGUGACGAAGGAUUUUUGUGACGGUAGCAGUAGAAGAAGCACCGGCUAACUACGUG
rnacentral:rRNA from 1 species